AAGUCGUAACAAGGUUUCCGUAGGUGAACCUGCGGAAGGAUCAUUAUCGAUUCAACACAAAUGAGAAGGGAGUCGUUUGCAGUUGUGCUGGCCUCCGACAAAGGGGCAUGUGCACGCUCGACUUCUCCUUUUCUUCAUUUACACACCUGUGAACCUGUUUGUAGGGUGUCUCGCAAGGGAUGCUCUAUGUCUUUUUCAUAUACUCCAUCGUAUGUUUAUAGAAUGUAUCUUUUUGCUCUCGUCAGAGACAAAAGUAAAGCCUUUAUAACUUUCAGCAACGGAUCUCUUGGCUCUC
rnacentral:misc_RNA from 1 species